UACAACUCUGAGCGGUGGAUCACUCGGCUCGUGCAUCGAUGAAGAGCGCAGCCAGCUGCGUUAAUUAAUGUGAAUUGCAGGACACAUUGAACAUCGAUAUCUUGAACGCACAUGGCGGCCCCGGGGUCUCUCCCGGGGCCACGUCUGUCUGAGGGUCGGAU
rnacentral:rRNA from 1 species